AGAGUUUGAUCAUGGCUCAGAAUGAACGCUGGCGGCGUGCUUAACACAUGCAAGUCGAACGAGAACGCCCCGAGCUUGCUUGGGGCCAGUAAAGUGGCGCACGGGUGAGUAACGCGUGGGUAAUCUACCCUCGGAUUCGGGAUAACACUUCGAAAGGGGUGCUAAUACCGGAUGAAGUAUAUCGAUCUUCGGAAGGAUAUAUGAAAGAUGGCCAAUCCAAGGAAGCUGUUGUCCGGGGAUGAGCCCGCGUACCAUUAGCUGGUUGGUGGGGUAACGGCCCACCAAGGCGACGAUGGUUAGCUGGUCUGAGAGGAUGAUCAGCCACACUGGAACUGGAACACGGUCCAGACUCCUACGGGAGGCAGCAGUGAGGAAUUUUGCGCAAUGGGGGAAACCCUGACGCAGCAACGCCGCGUGAGUGAAGAAGGCCUUUGGGUCGUAAAGCUCUGUCAAGUGGGAAGAAUCUGUUUCAUGUAAGCAGCGUGAGGCAAUGACGGUACCACUAAAGGAAGCACCGGCUAACUCCGUGCCAGCAGCCGCGGUAAUACGGAGGGUGCAAGCGUUACUCGGAAUCACUGGGCGUAAAGGACGCGUAGGCUGGUUUGCAAGUCAGGGGUGAAAGCCUACGGCUUAACCGUAGAACUGCUCUUGAAACUGCUUACCUAGAGUAUGGGAGAGGUAGAUGGAAUUAGUGGUGUAGGGGUAAAAUCCGUAGAGAUCACUAGGAAUACCGAUUGCGAAGGCGAUCUACUGGAACAUUACUGACGCUCAGAUGCGAAAGCGUGGGGAGCAAACAGGAUUAGAUA
rnacentral:rRNA from 1 species